GGGUUGUGAGGUUAAGCGACUAAGCGUACACGGUGGAUGCCCUGGCAGUCAGAGGCGAUGAAGGACGUGCUAAUCUGCGAUAAGCGUCGGUGAGGUGAUAUGAACCGUUAUAACCGGCGAUUUCCGAAUGGGGAAACCCAGUGUGUUUCGACACACUAUCAUUAACUGAAUCCAUAGGUUAAUGAGGCGAACCGGGGGAACUGAAACAUCUAAGUACCCCGAGGAAAAGAAAUCAACCGAGAUUCCCCCAGUAGCGGCGAGCGAACGGGGAGGAGCCCAGAGCCUGAAUCAGUGUGUGUGUUAGUGGAAGCGUCUGGAAAGGCGCGCGAUACAGGGUGACAGCCCCGUACACAAAAAUGCACAUAUUGUGAGCUCGAUGAGUAGGGCGGGACACGUGGUAUCCUGUCUGAAUAUGGGGGGACCAUCCUCCAAGGCUAAAUACUCCUGACUGACCGAUAGUGAACCAGUACCGUGAGGGAAAGGCGAAAAGAACCCCGGCGAGGGGAGUGAAAAAGAACCUGAAACCGUGUACGUACAAGCAGUGGGAGCCUCUUAAUGGGGUGACUGCGUACCUUUUGUAUAAUGGGUCAGCGACUUAUAUUCUGUAGCAAGGUUAACCGAAUAGGGGAGCCGAAGGGAAACCGAGUCUUAACUGGGCGUUAAGUUGCAGGGUAUAGACCCGAAACCCGGUGAUCUAGCCAUGGGCAGGUUGAAGGUUGGGUAACACUAACUGGAGGACCGAACCGACUAAUGUUGAAAAAUUAGCGGAUGACUUGUGGCUGGGGGUGAAAGGCCAAUCAAACCGGGAGAUAGCUGGUUCUCCCCGAAAGCUAUUUAGGUAGCGCCUCGUGAAUUCAUCUCCGGGGGUAGAGCACUGUUUCGGCAAGGGGGUCAUCCCGACUUACCAACCCGAUGCAAACUGCGAAUACCGGAGAAUGUUAUCACGGGAGACACACGGCGGGUGCUAACGUCCGUCGUGAAGAGGGAAACAACCCAGACCGCCAGCUAAGGUCCCAAAGUCAUGGUUAAGUGGGAAACGAUGUGGGAAGGCCCAGACAGCCAGGAUGUUGGCUUAGAAGCAGCCAUCAUUUAAAGAAAGCGUAAUAGCUCACUGGUCGAGUCGGCCUGCGCGGAAGAUGUAACGGGGCUAAACCAUGCACCGAAGCUGCGGCAGCGACACUAUGUGUUGUUGGGUAGGGGAGCGUUCUGUAAGCCUGUGAAGGUAGCCUGUGAGGGUUGCUGGAGGUAUCAGAAGUGCGAAUGCUGACAUAAGUAACGAUAAAGCGGGUGAAAAGCCCGCUCGCCGGAAGACCAAGGGUUCCUGUCCAACGUUAAUCGGGGCAGGGUGAGUCGACCCCUAAGGCGAGGCCGAAAGGCGUAGUCGAUGGGAAACAGGUUAAUAUUCCUGUACUUGGUGUUACUGCGAAGGGGGGACGGAGAAGGCUAUGUUGGCCGGGCGACGGUUGUCCCGGUUUAAGCGUGUAGGCUGGUUUUCCAGGCAAAUCCGGAAAACCAAGGCUGAGGCGUGAUGACGAGGCACUACGGUGCUGAAGCGACAAAUGCCCUGCUUCCAGGAAAAGCCUCUAAGCAUCAGGUAACAUCAAAUCGUACCCCAAACCGACACAGGUGGUCAGGUAGAGAAUACCAAGGCGCUUGAGAGAACUCGGGUGAAGGAACUAGGCAAAAUGGUGCCGUAACUUCGGGAGAAGGCACGCUGAUAUGUAGGUGAAGCGACUUGCUCGUGGAGCUGAAAUUAGUCGAAGAUACCAGCUGGCUGCAACUGUUUAUUAAAAACACAGCACUGUGCAAACACGAAAGUGGACGUAUACGGUGUGACGCCUGCCCGGUGCCGGAAGGUUAAUUGAUGGGGUUAGCGGUAACGCGAAGCUCUUGAUCGAAGCCCCGGUAAACGGCGGCCGUAACUAUAACGGUCCUAAGGUAGCGAAAUUCCUUGUCGGGUAAGUUCCGACCUGCACGAAUGGCGUAAUGAUGGCCAGGCUGUCUCCACCCGAGACUCAGUGAAAUUGAACUCGCUGUGAAGAUGCAGUGUACCCGCGGCAAGACGGAAAGACCCCGUGAACCUUUACUAUAGCUUGACACUGAACAUUGAGCCUUGAUGUGUAGGAUAGGUGGGAGGCUUUGAAGUGUGGACGCCAGUCUGCAUGGAGCCGACCUUGAAAUACCACCCUUUAAUGUUUGAUGUUCUAACGUUGGCCCGUAAUCCGGGUUGCGGACAGUGUCUGGUGGGUAGUUUGACUGGGGCGGUCUCCUCCUAAAGAGUAACGGAGGAGCACGAAGGUUGGCUAAUCCUGGUCGGACAUCAGGAGGUUAGUGCAAUGGCAUAAGCCAGCUUGACUGCGAGCGUGACGGCGCGAGCAGGUGCGAAAGCAGGUCAUAGUGAUCCGGUGGUUCUGAAUGGAAGGGCCAUCGCUCAACGGAUAAAAGGUACUCCGGGGAUAACAGGCUGAUACCGCCCAAGAGUUCAUAUCGACGGCGGUGUUUGGCACCUCGAUGUCGGCUCAUCACAUCCUGGGGCUGAAGUAGGUCCCAAGGGUAUGGCUGUUCGCCAUUUAAAGUGGUACGCGAGCUGGGUUUAGAACGUCGUGAGACAGUUCGGUCCCUAUCUGCCGUGGGCGCUGGAGAACUGAGGGGGGCUGCUCCUAGUACGAGAGGACCGGAGUGGACGCAUCACUGGUGUUCGGGUUGUCAUGCCAAUGGCACUGCCCGGUAGCUAAAUGCGGAAGAGAUAAGUGCUGAAAGCAUCUAAGCACGAAACUUGCCCCGAGAUGAGUUCUCCCUGACUCCUUGAGAGUCCUGAAGGAACGUUGAAGACGACGACGUUGAUAGGCCGGGUGUGUAAGCGCAGCGAUGCGUUGAGCUAACCGGUACUAAUGAACCGUGAGGCUUAACCUUACAACGCCGAAG
rnacentral:rRNA from 1 species